AACUUUUCUGUUUAGGCUGUGAUCAACCCAAGCGAACCUUCACCUAUGUAUGAAGACUUGUCGCCAUACAGCCGAAAUGCAGACGAAGAAUCUCCACCGAAAAUUCGUCGUCGGUGAUUUGAAUAUAUAUAUAUGUAUGAUAAACUACUGUUGAGUUGUUACGGGUUGGGUACUUAACAUACGUUGUAGUUUAUAAUACUGUACUGACUGCAAAACAUGUAUGUUAAUUUUUAUAAUUACCCCAUAAUGUUCCUGUUGUAUAUGUUAAAUGUAUAUGAUGGCCAAUGUAUAUCAGCGUUUGUGUAUUGAUACUGUUGAUGGUCUAUUUUGUUGAUGAUUAUAUAUGUUAAUUGUGCAUGCGAGUCUAUAUGACACAACAACAGAAUGAAUAAAGAAUAUACUUAAUAA
rnacentral:sRNA from 1 species